rnacentral:rRNA from 1 species
AAACUUCGCAGGCCGGAGGCCGUCUCCGGUUAUCCCGCGUCAAGAAACCAAAGUGGUUUCCAAGCAUUGUUGAAAGGUAUCUUAUCCUGAAUUCCAUAGGGAUAAGAAGCGAACGCGGGGAACUGAAACAUCUAAGUACCUGGAGGAAAGGAUAUCAACCGAAACUCCCCAAGUAAUGGCGAGCGAACACGGAACACGCCCGUGGCAAUGAGGAAUAAAGUGGAACGAUUUGUAAAGGGCGGCCGUAACGGGUGAAAGCCCCCUACACGAAUAACACUCUUUUUCUUUGAGUAGGGCGGGACACAAGAAAUCCUAUCUGAACAAGUGGUUAACACACA